CUGUUGCACAAAAGUAGAAUUAAGACAUCCGGGAUAAAUGACUCAGCUGAGCUCAAUGAAGCCAAAACAUGUGCGUCCAGGCUUAAUUGGUUGCACAAAGACCAAGCCAGGAUGAGCAGACACGGAUUCAUUAAGCCAGGUGAAACCAAUCCUGGAUAGGUGCGCGCUCACGGCUCACUCAAAUAGACCCCGCCACAGAUCACAGAUUAACUGAUUUACCAUGGCAACUAGAGCCGCGUACUUUUCCCCGUCGGAAGCACAAAUCCUCAUGGAGGCAUACGAGGAGGUAAAAUAUAUAAUUAAGAAGAAAGGCAACACCGCCACAGUGAUAAAGCAAAGAGAAAAAGCGUGGCAAAGUAUUGCAGACCGCCUGAAUGCAUUAAACAUGAACGGGCCAAAGCGGACAUGGCAGCAGGUCAAAAUCAAAUACAAGAACAUUCUGCAGAAUGGUAUGGUCCCUGACUAAUAUUUAACAAAGCACAAGCAUAUAUUGUACCCAGAAGGUGCCUGCUCACACAUUGUCUGUACUGUUUUAGCAGUGAA